UACGUAGGGUGCAAGCGUUGUCCGGAGUUAUUGGGCGUAAAGCGCGCGCAGGCGGCCUCGCGCGCCCGACGUGAAAGCCCCCCGGCUUAACCGGGGAGGGUCGUUGGGGACGGCGGGGCUUGAGGGCGGGAGAGGUCGGUGGAAUUCCCGGUGUAGUGGUGAAAUGCGUAGAGAUCGGGAGGAACACCUGUGGCGAAGGCGGCCGACUGGGCCGACCCUGACGCUGAGGCGCGAAGGCGGUGGGGGAGCGAACGGG
rnacentral:rRNA from 1 species